AUGUGAUCGUCUCUCGCAUAUCAAUAAGCGGAGGAAAAGAAACUAACAAGGAUUCCCCUAGUAACGGCGAGUGAAGCGGGAAGAGCUCAAAUUUGAAAUCUUAAAGGGUUUCCCUUUACGAAUUGUAGUUUAAAGAAGUGUUUUCUGUUGAGGUUUUGGUAAAAGUUCUUUGGAAUAGGACAUCAUAGAGGGUGAGAAUCCCGUAUUUGACCUUUACUUUCAACUUUGUGAUACACUUUCAAAGAGUCGGAUUGUUUGGGAAUGCAGUCCAAAAUGGGUGGUAAAUUUCAUCUAAAGCUAAAUAUUGGCGAGAGACCGAUAGCGAACAAGUACCGUGAGGGAAAGGAUGAAAAGAACUUUGAAAAGAGAGUUAAACAGUACGUGAAAUUGUCAAAAGGGAAGCGUUUGACACCAGUGUUGUUUUUCUGAAAAUCAAUUAAAGAACUGUUUAUGCUAAGUUGUUUAGACUUUAUCAGCUAUACUGCUUAGUUUUGAGCUUUUCUUUAAUGCACUUUUCAGUUAACAAGUCAACAUCAAUUUCUUUUGCUGUAAAAAAGCUUGAGGAAGGUGGCUUGAGAUUCGUCUUAAGUGUUUAUAGCCUCUUGCCUAUGCAGUCGGAGAGAUUGAGGUCUGCAGCGUAGAUCCUUCGGGGCUAAAUGCAUUUGUGCUAAGUUAUAACAUUUUAUAGACAACUUGUUGACUAUGAUUUGUCUUGUAGCUUACUCGCUUAUGUUAUUUUACCUACGCUUAGGAUGUUGAGUAGCGACAUACGCAC
rnacentral:rRNA from 1 species